rnacentral:rRNA from 1 species
GUGGUUAGCGCAAGCGAAGCUGCGAAUUGAAGCCCCAGUAAACGGCGGCCGUAACUAUAACGGUCCUAAGGUAGCGAAAUUCCUUGUCGGGUAAGUUCCGACCCGCACGAAAGGCGUAACGAUCUGGGCACUGUCUCAACGAGAGACUCGGUGAAAUUAUAGUACCUGUGAAGAUGCAGGUUACCCGCGACAGGACGGAAAGACCCCGUGGAGCUUUACUGUAGCCUGAUAUUGAAUUUUGGUACAACUUGUACAGGAUAGGUAGGAGCCAGAGAUCUCGGAGCGCCAGCUUCGAAGGAGGCGUCGGUGGGAUACUACCCUGGUUGUAUUGAAAUUCUAACCCAUGCCCCUUAGCGGGGCAGGAGACAGUGUCAGGCGGACAGGUUGACUGGGGCGGUCGCCUCCUAAAAGGUAACGGAGGCGCCCAAAGGUUCCCUCAGAAUGGUUGGAAAUCAUUCGUAGAGUGUAAAGGCACAAGGGAGCUUGACUGCGAGACCUACAAGUCGAGCAGGGUCGAAAGACGGGCUUAGUGAUCCGGUGGUUCCGCAUGGAAGGGCCAUCGCUCAACGGAUAAAAGCUACCC